AUCUUAUUUGAUGGAUUUUUUUGGUAUGUUUUUUUGUUGGUAUUUUCUUUUUUGGUAUGGUUUAAUUCUUUUCUCCGUUGGGGAACAUGCUUUUUGUUUUCGUCAAAGAACAGAUUAGUUUUAGGCACAUUAUUUAACCUUUGCUAGCUUAGUUAAUAGUCUUAAAAUAUAGUAGGUUCCACAGUUUCUAAUCAACAGAAAAAGCUCAACUGCAUUUUUGUGCAUCGCUGUGCACAACGCGUCGCUGUUCACCAACAAAUAAGGUUGAACACAGUCGCCAUAAUAUCACGUCUUUCCAAGGAGAUUUUCGCAUUUUCACCUCAGCUUUGUGCUCUGCAUCGUGGAUUACUUAACGGCAAACUACAACAUCUAAUGCUCUGGCUUUCUGCGUGGACAAGUGUCGUGUUUACAGUAAAUAUUUGUUCUUACCAUCUGAUAUUUUACUGCAUCUGUCGCGUUUAACGCUCAAUUAUUAUGGAGAGGCACAUCGAAAUUCACUCUCAGAGAAGGUACGUUACUAUCUUUCUUCUGACUGCAACCAUUAACAUGGCGUUUGCUGUUACCCACUAUUCCAUUCCUGAAGAAAUGGAAGAAGGAUCCAUUGUUUCAAAUCUAGCCACUGAUUUAGGACUGGAUGUGAAAGCGCUGAACCAACGUAAGAUGCGUUUAGAGAUCGUGGCAAAUAAAAAGUACUUGGAAGUGAACAAAGAGACUGGAGACUUGUACAUUCAAGAACGGAUGGAUAGAGAGAAUUUGUGCGCCUCCAAAACGACUUGCUUUUUGAAACUAGAUGCCAUUAUAGAAAAUCCUAAACGUAUGUUUAAUAUUGAAUUAGAAAUUAUGGACAUUAAUGACAACGCACCCCAAUUUCGGAGGGAUGUUAUUCAUUUGGAUAUUUCAGAAUCUACACCCGCUGGUGAAAGAUUUUCUCUAACUAACGCAUUUGAUCCGGACGCUGGAACAAAUUCGAUUAAGACGUACUUUCUCAAUGACAAUGACCACUUCAGCAUUGAAAUUCAAAGUGGCCGUGAUGGAUCCAAAUUUCCAGAUUUGAUUUUAACGAAAGCUCUGGACAGAGAAGAACAGUCAGUUUAUAAUUUAAUACUUACUGCUCUAGAUGGUGGACUCCCUGCACGCUCUGGCACAGCCAGCAUCAUUGUGCGCGUGCUGGAUACGAACGACAACGCCCCUCAGUUUGAUAAAGACAGUUACACCAUUAAACUAACGGAGAACUCACCUAUAGGAAGUCUUGUUGUUAAACUAAAUGCAACAGACGCAGAUGAAGGGUCAAAUUCCGAUAUCAUGUACUCCUAUAGUUUAUAUACAUCUGAAAAAACUCAGGACACUUUCAGUUUAAAUCCAAACAAUGGAGAAAUCAGAGUUAAAGAAAUGAUUAAUUAUGAGGAUUUCAGGAUUUAUGAUAUGGAAAUCUUAGCAGCAGAUAAAGGAGUGAAUUCCUUGUCAGGAAAAUGCAAAGUGAGAAUUUUAAUCACAGAUAUGAAUGACAACCACCCUGAAAUUUCUAUUAAAUCAUUCACAAGUCCUGUAAAAGAGGACAUAGCUGUAGGAGCAGUCAUUGCAGUUGUCAGUGUAAGUGAUAAAGAUUCAGGUGAAAAUGGUCAAAUAAAUGUUUAUAUAUCUGAUAAACUGCCCUUUAAGCUCAGAGAGUCUUCUGAUCAUUAUUUUGAGCUUGUGGUUUCAGAACCGUUAGACCGUGAAAAAGUUCCAGAAUAUGACAUCACAUUUACCGUCACUGACAGAGGAACUCCUCCAUUAUCUGAUAAUGAAACCAUGACUCUAGAACUGCUGGACGUGAACGACAACGUACCUCAGUUUCCACAAUCAUUCUACACCAUUCAGGUGAAGGAAAAUAACGCACCAGGAGAAUUACUAAGCUCAAUAACAGCACAUGACCCAGACCUCCAUGAAAACCAGUAUCUAGUUUAUUUUAUCAUAGAAAAGGAAAUAGUGAACACCUCCAUGUCUAUGCUGUUCUCCAUAAACCCAGAGAACGGAAACCUUUAUGCACUAAAGACGUUUGAUUAUGAGAUAGAGAAGGAAUUCCUUUUCCAUAUCGAGGCCAGAGACUCUGGUGUUCCUCCGCUCAGCAGCAACGUAACUGUUCACAUCAUUAUAAUGGACCAGAACGACAACACACCACUUAUAGUGUCUCCAUGGCGCGCGCACGGGUCAGUGGUGGAGGAGAAAAUCCCCAGAUCCACCGAUAAAGGAACUUUGAUAGCCAAAGUGAUCGCUAUUGACACUGACUCAGUGCACAACUCCCGGAUCACUUACCAGUUCCUCCAGAACACUGAUGCUACUUUAUUCAGCUUGGACCAGUACAACGGAGAGAUUAGGACCAUGAGGAUGUUCAGUUACAGAGACUCGCGCCACCAGCGGCUGGUGGUGAUCGCCAAGGACAACGGAGAGCCCUCGCUCUCUGCUACAGUCACCAUCAAACUGUCCACGGUGGAGACCGCGCUCAAAACCUACGCAGAUAUGACUGAAAUUCCUGAAUAUGAUAUUUUUUCAGACUUGAACCUGUAUCUUGUGAUCGGACUUGGCUCUGUGUCAUUUCUCUUACUCAUCACUAUACUGGUGACUAUCGUGCUGAAAUGUCAGAAACCCAAGCCCAGCAAAGCAGGUCCUCCCUGUAGGAACAGUGUGAUCAGUGAGAGGAACUCUACCAUCGCAGAUUCCACCCUGGUCUCCAACGAUGCCUACUGGUACAGUUUAUUUCUGGCAGAGACAAGGAAAGGAAAGCUGGUAGUUAGACAACCCGUGCCAAAGGGGUCGAGAUACAUCGUGUCAAGUAUACCGAGGAGUACAGGACUGACCGAGACCAGUGACUCGGCAGCAUCCACUCUGCAGCCCCUCUGGCUGCUGGGUCAGUUGCUGUGUGCCGGUGGUGGAAAGCUAUGGCUAAUGUCUGCUAGCAGGUUUACUGACAUGUUGCUUUUCUCACUCAGCAGUGUGACCUAUACUUUCAGUGCUGCUGCUGCUGCCUCUUCACUGUGUCUUCACAAUUAUAAAGCAUUGACAAUUCAGUCACUGCAUCAAGUUUUACUGUUAAACACUGUCUGAAAUGGAAUUAUGUAUCAGCAGUUGGGCCCAUGUUGUUAUUAAAAUUGUAGCAGUCUUCUGUUACAUAGCCUGUGAAUUUCUUUGUGUGUAAAUACCAAGACAACUUUACAAAUAAUGGUGAAAUGUGUGUAUAUAAUUCAAAUGCAUGCAUAAUUUCUAUGUGAAUAAUAAUUUACAGUUGGCCUAUGUUUUAUUUAUGAGUAAAGAUGUACAUAUUUGAUUAAUAUUAAUUGGUCUAUAGUAAUUCAUUGGUCUAUUUGCCCAAAGUGUGUACUUUGUUUUAUAAAGACUUUAGAUUAUUUAAAAUGUUGAGGUCACUGUACAGAUACAUAAAAUACAAUGUAAUUAAUGUUCAGUAAUGUGUGAUUCACGUGUUUGAAUGUUUGUGCACGUAGAAGAAAAGAUGAAGAGAUAAAGAGAUAUGGUGGUUGAUUAUUCACAUUUUAAUCACUGUAUUUAUUUAGAUGUUUAAAUUGUUUUCUUUUUCCUUUGUUCAUGUCGGUUACUUAUGGCAGACAAGCAAUCUGUUUCAACUUCUCUUUAAACAUUUCACUUUGCUUAAAUUGUGAAACAGGUUCUCCCCACGCACAAAUGGGUGGGAUAAAUAUAUGUAUCAUUUUUAUUUAUUUAAAAAAUAUUAUAUUUAAUAUGCUGUAUGUAUAUGUUUGUUUACUUGAAUGGUCCCUUCUAUGGUCUCGUUGAUGCUCAACUGACAUUCAACUAACUUUCAACUGAAUAUCUAUUAAACGCAAUGUUGAAUGUAAAUGAUUUAAAAUAAAACCUAACCCUACACCUAACCCUAACCUUAACCAUUAAUCAACACUAAAAUCUAAUCCUACACAUAACCCUAACCUUAACCUAAACUUUAAAUCUAGUUGGAUGUAGGGUUGCAUUCAAUAAAGAAAAAAAUACUUUCACCUUUCAGUUCAAUUGCAUUUAAUAGACAGUUGAAUGUUAGUUUAAUGUAAGUUGAGCAUCAAUAAGGGCAUCAAAUGGACCGUCCAAAUAAAGUGUUACCGUUUGUUAUUUGAAGUUCUGUGAAUAUGUUUAAAUCUUCUUUCCAUUUGUUAUAGGGGGUGGGGUGUGAAAGAUAAAUUCCAGCCAAUCCACUAGAAAAAACAGGGGUCAGGAAUUUCCAAGUGGGCUAUACUAAAGUGGAUUGCAUCUAGCUUAACAAAACAUGUCAGAUUAAUGUAACAAACAUUACAAAACAUCACCAUAAUUGAAUCCAUGUUAUCUGUUUGUAUUUCUGCUCUUCAUUUCUUAGCUCAGGAAAGCAAGCUGUAAGAAAACACCAAUGAUUUUAGCUAUCUGAUUUGAUUUCGUUGACAGAUUUGACCUUGAUAUAUGUUGCUUAAUUCAAUGAUUGAAAUUCCUGUUUCUUGUUUUUGUUUCUGUUCUAAAGUACUCAAAAUGAGCGAGGUCCCUUCCUGUGCUGGAGGCAUCCACUACCACCAGCAGCAGUUCCUCAUGAGGCCCCUCCCAACCCUUUUCAGUAGAGUGAUGUGGAGAAUAUCCUGACUGACCCAAACAAGGGUGGACCACGUCCAGCCAACGCCUUCUCACCUGCCUGGUUACCUGUCUCCUUGCAAGGAUUCUGUCUAACUGCACACACAAUCUAACACACAUUUCACGCCCUUGGCUUUCAGCUUGCAUAAAUGCAGAUAAUCUAACUGACUGGACAGAGGGAAAACUCUGUCGCUGUUUGUGACUGAUGGAUGCGCUUACACGGAUAUCAGCAAUGCACAUCUAGCCUCCACCUCAAUGCAAAACCUUGUGAGCCCUCACAAUGUCCAAUGUGUUUACUGCAUUAAACUCGGAUGUUAUUUCAACGUGCAUGGAUCUGCAUGGCUAAGUCAUCGACUUUCAUUCUGCAUCUCAGUGAUCUAAGAAACAAGCAAAACAAAAAAAAUCCUAAAAUGCAACCUACAACAGAGAAUAAGGAAAAAAAGGAAGCACAAAAUGGGCUGAUGUGAAGGGUCUCUGGAACUGUGUUAAAGGUAUCUGCAGCCUUCUUCUAAUGGAUGUUUAAUUAUGUACUUAUUUAUUUUCAAUGUAUUUUAUUAUUUAAUACAAUACUACCAAGUAAAAAAAAGCAUCAACAUGUACUAUUACUGGAAAAAGGGAAAGUGUUGUUUUGUGAAAAGUCUGUGUACAUAUGUGUAUGGUACCACAUCUUUGUCACUGUUUAUAUCAAUUGUUUUUUCUUGUGUAAAAAUGAAAGAACAGAAAAGACACAGAAUAUUAUUAACACAUACUUGUAUAUGACAGUAUGCUUGUCUGGCCUAUGUUUCCCCUCACAUAAGUGUCUCUUUUCUAAAACAAAUGUGUUGCAUAACAAAAGUGUAAUUUUGCCAUUAAAGUAUCUUUACAAUUAUUGUAGUAAAGAUGCAUAGGUGACACCUGACACUUGCUCCCCUAAGUGCUCUGCUAAGUAAAUCUUAUGCUUAAUUAUUCAGAAGACACAUACUGCCAGUCAACUGUCCCUGCAGUUACAUUAAGACUCAUACAGUAGCUCCUUUGUCUACACAGACUCAUAAAAAAAGAGUCAUAAAAAAUAUGUUGGUCUAUGAUAAGGUUACGUUGCAUUGCUGCACUUUUUUCCACAAAAGGCCAGUGUGACUGUCAGUUUUUAAAUUCUAUUUAAGUAGAAACACAUAACUUUUAUUCAGUCCAUCAUCAAACAGUUUAUUUGAAGCUUGUUUGGAGUUAAAACCAGACAAAGCUUUACAGGCCCUUUCCUUUACAAACUAAACUGGUUAAAUGAACCCUGCUUUACAGUCUAAACAAAAUGCAGUUGAUAUGUUUUCAUUAAUAUAUAAAUUAGGUUGAGAAUAUUUUGAUUUAUAAUAGCAUUAUAAUGGUAAUUAAAUGUUUAUUUGAGACAAUAACAAGAUCUUUUCAGUGAAAUUAAUUUUCCAUGAACAAUGACACUAUAAGUAAUAUAUAGCUUCCUGUAGCCUAUCCUGCAAGCAUUGUGGUCAAACUUUAAACAACCUAUUUACAUUUUAUAUACGUUUUUCUAGGCUUGUACUACAUUAUGCUUGUUUUAAGCAAAUCAAAAAAUGACAUCUGAUGCUAAAUAUUUGUUUAGUUUAUGCAAAAAUGUUUUGGAGGUAUUCUGAUGUAUUUGGAGGUACUGAAAUGUUACAUACUGCUUAGGCUGUAAAAAAAACAGUUGCAGCAUUAUUUUGUGGUUUCAUAUAUAACUGGUGUACAGGCUGUUAAAAGUGCUUUUUGUGAAUGAUUACAUUAGUAGUGCAAUAUAUUAUGUUUCCAUUAAUCCUUAGUAUGCAGUCAGUAUACAGUGUCUUAUCAUUCUGCAGAUGUACUAUAUAUUCCAACAUAUAUUCAUUGUGAACAGUAAUCAGUGUUUUUUUUUCCAAAUAUGUGUAUGGUGUUCUGAUGACUUCCUCAGGCAGUGCACAAUGUGAGGUCAAAGUACUAGGAUACACACAGUUGGAUUUAUAGAGAUAUCAAUUGCUGACAUAGAAGCUGUGGGAAGAUAUGUUACCUUUUGUUUUGAAGGCCUGAAUAAAAAAGUGUUCUUAACCUUGAAGCCAAGGGCCUGAGGGGUGUUUUUGUCAAAACAGACUAUUUUGCAUGCAAAGUGUUAGAGAAUCAGAGACUAAUUGCUAAAUGAGGAUGACAAAAGAUGAGUAUUUUUGUCUGUGUGUGUGUGAAAGAGAGAGAGAGAGAGAGAGAGAGAGAGAGAGGAAUGAGGUAUAUAGAUGAAAGAGCUGCAAGUAGGUCAUCUAAGCUUCUGAAAGUAGGUAUUAUUAAUUUCAUCAGAAUCCUUUUUUUCUGGUGUAAAAAUGGCCUUUCUAUUUAUAUUGACCAGAUUCCUAAAGCAGAAAAUGUUCACCCUUUUACACUCCCUUUGUUGUUUAUCUCCUUGUAAGAUUUUACAAGCUUAUAUUCCUAUUUCAUAACUACAGGAAUGAUGUCUGGAUGCUCACAUCAUUAGAGAGAAAUAUUGUCUAGUAGGUUCUGGCUGAUUGAUGGGUAUUUUUUGUUAACAUAGAGUUUAAUUAUGUACAAUGUUUAUUAUUCGCAGCCAAGCUUUUAACUUUUUUCCACCAAUGCAUUUCAUUUUAAAAUGUAAGGAAAGAGCCUUAGUUCAACCUCAGUAAAUCUGUGUCCUGCCUGAGAAAAACAUCAUCAGAUUUUCUCCUUCUAUCUUGCAUUCCAGCAUAUAUUACCAGUCUUGUAAGAGCAUAUAUAUCCUAGGAAAUAAAAAAAAUAUAGAAAAAUAUAGAAAUUCAGCAUAUCCUCAAUGAUAUGAUAUUGUGUUUGAAAUUAACUGUAUGCUAUUGUACUGACUUAUAACAGAAUGCAUUUUUCGUUCUAAAAGGCAUAUGAUGCACAUUGUUCAAAUCUCUAGUGUGCUCAUGAGGAUUUGGCUGUCUGAAUGUCUGUGGUGAUUGACUGGAGUUAGGGAGAGGAAGCAAAAACAUUAUUUUGCUAUGUUGGAACAUUUUAUUACUAUGAUUAAUUCUGAAGUGACUGUGCUUUUUUAUAUUUGCUGCUUCUUUUUGUGCAUGAAACAGUGUUUAUUUGUAUGUACAUGGAGCAAAUGAAGAGGUGAAUAAAUCUAAAGUAGACUGAUAAAAUAUGUUUAUUUACAUAUCUCUGGUUUUAUUUACUUUUUUGAGGUUCUGUAAUGUUACAACUUUAUGCUUAUUUUUGGAUCAUUAUGAGCUGUGAUGUUCGUUCUCAUUGCUAAACAAAUAACACUUUUCUAUGUAAAUACAAAAGUGUGAAUAAAAUUCAUGGUUAGAUUCA